GGCAGUAUUUCCAGGAGGCUGUGAGGGGGAGGUCCAACGCAGUCCAGCUGACAAGGAUGGAAUACGCCAUGAAGUCCCUUAGCCUUCUCUACCCCAAGUCCCUCUCCAGGUGAGGAAAGUCAUGGGCAGAAUGGAAAGAGAGCCACCUAUGAGCUGUAAGCCAGAACUUCUCAAACUUUAAUGGGUAUACAGGUCACAGGGGACCUUGUUCAAGUGCAGAUUCUGAUUCAGGAGGUCUGGAGUGGGACCCGAGAUUUUGCACUGCCAAGAAGUCCCUGGGUGAUAUUAAUGCUGCUGCUUACACCACCACCACACCAUGCAUAAAAAGGAGUAGACACUAUGCUUGGUGCUUUUACUCCUGAUCUCAUGUAAGCCUCACAACAACUUUGGGAAGUGGGGGUUAUUAUACCAAAUUAAUAGGUGAGAGAACUGAGGCACAUAGUGGGUGCUCUCAAUCACCCAGCAAAUCCAUGAGGGAGCCAAGAUUCUAAAUUGGGACUGCCUGACUGUAAAAUCCAGGUCCUUUCCUUUCCUUUGGUUCUAAAUUGAGUGCUUCAGUUAAAAAAAUACCUUACAUUGACUUCAGGCUUCCCCCACUUCAUCCAACUUUACAGGUGAGGAGAGUGAGGCCAAGACAGGUGGUAAAUGGGGAAUGUGGGG
rnacentral:lncRNA from 10 species